rnacentral:rRNA from 1 species
AGAGUUUGAUCCUGGCUCAGGACGAACGCUGGCGGCGUGCUUAACACAUGCAAGUCGAACGGAAAGGCCCUUCGGGGUACUCGAGUGGCGAACGGGUGAGUAACACGUGGGUGAUCUGCCCUGCACUUUGGGAUAAGCCUGGGAAACUGGGUCUAAUACCGAAUAUGACCAUGCACUUCCUGGUGUGUGGUGGAAAGCUUUUGCGGUGUGGGAUGGGCCCGCGGCCUAUCAGCUUGUUGGUGGGGUAAUGGCCUACCAAGGCGACGACGGGUAGCCGGCCUGAGAGGGUGACCGGCCACACUGGGACUGAGAUACGGCCCAGACUCCUACGGGAGGCAGCAGUGGGGAAUAUUGCACAAUGGGCGCAAGCCUGAUGCAGCGACGCCGCGUGAGGGAUGACGGCCUUCGGGUUGUAAACCUCUUUCAGCACAGACGAAGCGCAAGUGACGGUAUGUGCAGAAGAAGGACCGGCCAACUACGUGCCAGCAGCCGCGGUAAUACGUAGGGUCCGAGCGUUGUCCGGAAUUACUGGGCGUAAAGAGCUCGUAGGUGGUUUGUCGCGUUGUUCGUGAAAACUCACAGCUUAACUGUGGGCGUGCGGGCGAUACGGGCAGACUUGAGUACUGCAGGGGAGACUGGAAUUCCUGGUGUAGCGGUGGAAUGCGCAGAUAUCAGGAGGAACACCGGUGGCGAAGGCGGGUCUCCGGGCAGUAACUGACGCUGAGGAGCGAAAGCGUGGGGAGCGAACAGGAUUAGAUACCCUGGUAGUCC